GCCCCCUUAGCUCAGGGGAUAGAGCAACGGCCUCCGGAGCCGUGUGCGCAGGUUCGAAUCCUGCAGGGGGCGCCC
rnacentral:tRNA from 2 species